UCUCUCUCAUCCCUCCAAAGUUCUCCUCUCUCUCUAAACCUCCCCAAAGUCGGGCGAGAAUCCCACUGUCGAUCGCAGUAUUGCCGCCGCGCCGAGCGCCGGGCGCCGUCUCCGGUGGUCACUUGAGCCUAAAUCACACCAAUCGGAUCACCUCAACGCUCGGAGUUCAUAUUGGGGCACAGUUUUGUGAGAAACAACCCAUAACUCCACGAAAUAGGCCUAGAACCUCUCGGCUUCCAACACUCUGAUCUCCACCGUCCACUGUUGGAUCACCUCGGCUCUGAGCUAUGUAGUUCGCCUCCUUUAUGUGCUUCUCCUCACUGCUUGGAUUGGGCGAUAAAGACUCCAAACGUCGGUCAGUGGUUCGAUUGAAAGAAAAGCUUGAAGGAAAAGCUUUCCUAUCAAAGAGGGACCACAGGUUGAAGCCGAUGGGUAAAGGGGACCACCAGCAGUACGAGUCGAGGCCCACGUGAAGAAGGGGAAGCUGAAUGGCCUCUGUUGGAAGCUGCGAAGGCGCUACAUGGCUAGGGUUUCCAAAGACCUAAUUAGUGGAGGAAACAGGGCCGUUGAUUGUCCUCGAUCGAACAGAUACAAUGAAAGCGGCGCUAGGGUUAGUGGAAACCUUAAUCUGAUUAGGGUUUGCACGUGGGCCUGUUGGGCUUUGUAAAAGGGAUAUGUAAAUGGGAUUUGGGUCUUGUGUAUAAUGGGUUAUUGGACUUGAAAAUGGACUUUUAAAGGUUUGGUUUU